UACGGGGGGGCAAGCGUUGUUCGGCAUUCCUGGGCGUAAAGGGUCUGUAGGUGGCUUGCUAAGUCAGACGUGAAAUCCCUCAGCUUAACUGGGGAACUGCGUCUGAGACUGGCGAGCUUGAGGGCAGGAGAGGAACGCGGAAUUCCAGGUGUAGCGGUGAAAUGCGUAGAUAUCUGGAGGAACACCGGUGGCGAAGGCGGCGUUCUGGACUGCAUCUGACACUGAAAGACGAAAGCCAGGGGAGCAAACGGG
rnacentral:rRNA from 1 species